UCAGUAGCUGAGUGGAUAACGCGAUGGCUUUUGAGGCGAAAUAUACUGGUUUCGAAUCCCAGAAUGA
rnacentral:tRNA from 1 species